GACGAACGCUGGCGGCGUGCUUAACACAUGCAAGUCGAACGGAAAGGCCCCUUUGGGGGUACUCGAGUGGCGAACGGGUGAGUAACACGUGAGUAACCUGCCCUUGACUUCGGGAUAACUUCAGGAAACUGGGGCUAAUACCGGAUAGGAAUCCUUGCUGCAUGGUGGGGGUUGAAAAGCUUCGGCGGUUUUGGAUGGACUCGCGGCUUAUCAGCUUGUUGGUGGGGUAGUGGCUUACCAAGGCUUUGACGGGUAGCCGGCCUGAGAGGGCGACCGGCCACAUUGGGACUGAGAUACGGCCCAGACUCCUACGGGAGGCAGCAGUGGGGAAUAUUGCACAAUGGGCGGAAGCCUGAUGCAGCAACGCCGCGGGCGGGAUGACGGCCUUCGGGUUGUAAACCGCUUUCAGCAGGGGCGAAGCUUGUGGUGACGGUACCUGCAGAAGAAGCACCGGCUAACUACGUG
rnacentral:rRNA from 1 species